GAUGAACGCUGGCGGCGUGCAUAACACAUUCAAGUCGAACGAAGCACUUUCGACGGAGACUUCGGUCAAAGUUGGAUUUGACUUAGUGGCGGACUGGUGAGUAACGCGUGAGGAACCUGCCUUUCAGAGGGGGACAACAGUUGGAAACGACUGCUAAUACCGCAUGACGCAUGACCGGGGCAUCCCGGACAUGCCAAAGAUUUUAUCGCUGAAAGAUGGCCUCGCGUCUGAUUAGCUAGUUGGUGAGGUAACGGCCCACCAAGGCGACGAUCAGUAGCCGGACUGAGAGGUUGACCGGCCACAUUGGGACUGAGAUACGGCCCAGACUCCUACGGGAGGCAGCAGUGGGGAAUAUUGGGCAAUGGACGCAAGUCUGACCCAGCAACGCCGCGUGAAGGAAGAAGGCUUUCGGGUUGUAAACUUCUUUAAGGGGGAAGAGUAGAAGACGGUACCCCUUGAAUAAGCCACGGCUAACUACGUG
rnacentral:rRNA from 1 species